UUGAACGCUGGCGGCAGGCCUAACACAUGCAAGUCGAGCGGGAUGAAGGGAGCUUGCUCCUGGAUUCAGCGGCGGACGGGUGAGUAAUGCCUAGGAAUCUGCCUGGUAGUGGGGGAUAACGUCCGGAAACGGGCGCUAAUACCGCAUACGUCCUGAGGGAGAAAGUGGGGGAUCUUCGGACCUCACGCUAUCAGAUGAGCCUAGGUCGGAUUAGCUAGUUGGUGGGUAAAGGCCUACCAAGGCGACGAUCCGUAACUG
rnacentral:rRNA from 1 species